CUGGUUUAAAGGCUCCCGCAUCUCUCGUUACACCCUGCUGAUCAGCUUUGGGCCAGUCACAUGUACCAAGAUGAUCUCACAGGCUCCACUCCUCUGGCUGUUACUGCUCUGGAUCCGUGGUUCAAGUGGAGACCGUGUGAUGACCCAGACUCCAGAGUCCCUGACAGUAUCCCUGGGAGACACCGUCACCAUCAAGUGCAAAUGCAGCUCCAGCCUCACAUCCUCAGGAAAGGAGUUCAUAGGCUGGUACCACGAGAAACCUGGACAAGCUCCUAAACUCAUCAUCACUUUUGCUUCCACGCAGCAACCGGGAGUCCCAGCCCGAUUCAGCGGCAGUGGGUCUGGAACGGAUUUCACUCUCGCCAUCAGCAGGGUAGAAGCUGAAGAUGCCGGAGAUUAUUACUGUCAGCAGAAUUACGGUACCCCUCUCACAGUGCUACAAACCAGUACAUAAACCUCCCGGUGCUCUUCAGACCAGCACGGCAGGUGCUUCCUUAACAGUCACCUUCACAGUACAUGUGCUACACAAAGAGGCAUAUAUCCUUCCUUGUUGAAAUGACUGUAGAAAGACAGCUGAAGUCUACUGUGGAUACUAAGUGGCAUAAAACCAAUAACCAGGAGUCAGGACAUGUACUCAUUUACUUUCAACUCAGAUAAAUAGCACUGCAGCAUAAGAUGAGGCAGCUCUGUUGAGCAGUUAUCUUAAAACUGGUUUGUGGUCCUUUCUGAGCUCAUUUUUUGGAUCAGACAUGUACUUUGCAUAUAUUAAAGCAACUAGCACCCUUUGAUGCUGUAACGAGUUACUAUUAACACCGUGUGCUGCUCAGUACUGUGUUGAUCAGCAUCUGGUUGUUCACAUGCAUCACAAUGAUCCCAAAGGCUCAGCUCCUCUGACUGGUAGUACUCGGUAUCAAGUGUAAAAGACUUAUGAAAAUAGCACUGGUGUGAUGACAAGCUGUAUUUUAGGGGUUUAGGAAUUUUAAUCCUAUAUUUCUUAUAUAAAGUUUUUAAAGAUUGUUUUAGAUUCAAAAAUAGUUAGCUAUUAAUCUAUAAAACUUCACACUUUCUUCAGAGUAUUCUGCAUAUCCUUGUGUUAUUUCAAAAGCAGUUAGGUCCCGACAGUAAGUCCAGCAUAAGGAACAGGAGUCUUUCACUGGCCUUCAAAGGCUUUGCAUUAGGCUCUAAAGGUGACUAACUGAAAAAGGGGAGAGGAUGAAGGGUAUAAUUCAAGGAUAGGAACUACAUAAAGAGCCAUUUGGUGAUGUUUAUAAAAGAUAAAUUCCCUGGCCUUUACUUCUCUCACACACAUGCACACUCCCGUGCACUAUUAACGUGUUGACCCAUUCAGACUCAAAUGGAAAGACUACCUGGCCUCAGACACCAGAAUCCAUGCUGGUGUCUCCAGGAGACAGAGUCAUAAUUCAAUGCAAAGACAACUCAAACCUUACAUUU